UAUGGUAAUUGUGUGCAGCCGCGGUAAUACGUAGGUGGCAAGCGUUGUCCGGAAUUAUUGGGCGUAAAGAGCAUGUAGGCGGUUUUUUAAGUCUGGAGUGAAAAUGCGGGGCUCAACCCCGUAUGGCUCUGGAUACUGGAAGACUUGAGUGCAGGAGAGGAAAGGGGAAUUCCCAGUGUAGCGGUGAAAUGCGUAGAUAUUGGGAGGAACACCAGUGGCGAAGGCGCCUUUCUGGACUGUGUCUGACGCUGAGAUGCGAAAGCCAGGGUAGCGAACGGG
rnacentral:rRNA from 1 species